CCUACGGGGGGCUGCAGUGGGGAAUAUUGCACAAUGGGCGCAAGCCUGAUGCAGCCAUGCCGCGUGUGUGAAGAAGGCCUUCGGGUUGUAAAGCACUUUCAGCGGGGAGGAAGGCGGUGAGGUUAAUAACCUCAUCGAUUGACGUUACCCGCAGAAGAAGCACCGGCUAACUCCGUGCCAGCAGCCGCGGUAAUACGGAGGGUGCAAGCGUUAAUCGGAAUUACUGGGCGUAAAGCGCACGCAGGCGGUCUGUCAAGUCGGAUGUGAAAUCCCCGGGCUCAACCUGGGAACUGCAUUCGAAACUGGCAGGCUAGAGUCUUGUAGAGGGGGGUAGAAUUCCAGGUGUAGCGGUGAAAUGCGUAGAGAGCUGGAGGAAUACCGGUGGCGAAGGCGGCCCCCUGGACAAAGACUGACGCUCAGGUGCGAAAGCGUGGGGAGCAAACAGGAUUAGAUACCCUUGUAGUC
rnacentral:rRNA from 1 species